rnacentral:rRNA from 1 species
ACGGGAGGCAGCAGUGAGGAAUAUUGGUCAAUGGGCGGAAGCCUGAACCAGCCAAGUCGCGUGAAGGAUGAAGGUAUUAUGUAUUGUAAACUUCUUUAGACGCAGAGAAAUAAGGAGGUCGUAACCUCUGAUGCUAGUAUGCGUAGAAUAAGCAUCGGCUAACUCCGUGCCAGCAGCCGCGGUAAUACGGAGGAUGCGAGCGUUAUCCGGAUUCAUUGGGUUUAAAGGGUGCGCAGGCGGCGUGUUAAGUCAGCGGUGAAAGUCAGGGGCCCAACCCCGGAAGUGCCGUUGAUACUGGCGCGCUGGAAUGCGGUCGAGGCGGGCGGAAUGUGGCGUGUAGCGGUGAAAUGCAUAGAUAUGCCACAGAACUCCGAUAGCGAAGGCAGCCCGCCAGGCCUGCAUUGACGCUCAGGCACGAAAGCGUGGGGAUCGAACAGGAUUAGAUACCCUGGUA